rnacentral:misc_RNA from 1 species
AGUGAUGAUCGCCUUUAUAUGCUGCUCGAGCCACCGACGAAGAUUCCAUCAAAAGAAAAAAAAACGUAACUCGUUAGAAAUCUCCUUUACUUCUUUUUCCAGAUGAUGAAGCAGGUGUAUCAAGUACUCAGGACCCUUUACUGUGAAAGCAGAACAGCACGAUCCAACAGAAUCCUCCUUAGGAGCAUAAUCAUAAAGAAAGAAAAAAAUCACCCGCGACUACGGGAUAAAUCAGUUCCUCCUAACAAGAAUUUGGUUCUAAUCACUCUGUUCGCAGCACCAUAUCUAGCCACAAACAACGCAUACCACCCGAAAAUCCGCAAGGGGAAAGCGAAAUUGAGAAAUCACAGGAAACCAGCCCCGCAGACGCUGCUCCGUGAUUCCUCCUCCCACGCCACCCACCGAACAAAAAACGACACAAUUGAACUGGCGAAGGCGGACGGGAUCGGGGAGGGGAGGGGCACCUCGAGAUUGAGGACGAUGGCACG